rnacentral:rRNA from 1 species
UACGGAGGGUGCGAGCGUUGUCCGGAAUCACUGGGCGUAAAGGGCGCGUAGGCGGCUCGGUAAGCGUGCGGUGAAAGCCUGGGGCUCAACCCCGGGUCGGCCGUGCGAACUGUCGAGCUCGAGCACUGUAGAGGCAGGCGGAAUUCCGGGUGUAGCGGUGGAAUGCGUAGAGAUCCGGAAGAACACCGGUGGCGAAGGCGGCCUGCUGGGCAGUAGCUGACGCUGAGGCGCGACAGCGUGGGGAGCAAACAGG